AAAAGCAAGCAGACACACUAGCCACAUUUGGCUCACUACCCUGGCUGUGUUCUGGCUAUCGGACUUCAAUCUUGCUGUAAUGAAUAUUGGGUUGUUUUGGGAUUUUUUAAUUGCAGAAGCCUGCAGAUGGAUGGGAUAAACACUGUACUUUACUAGCGCAAAAAGGGGCAUACCUUUCCAACUCUCCUGAUUUCUGUGCUUCGCUCCUGCCCACCACCAUCCAGGGACACGCUGCCUUUAAUCGUUUUCACUGAUAGUAGCCAUCCCGGGGAGGGAGAUGUGAGAUUCAUCUCGUCCUCUCUCCUGCUUUGACUCUGGAUGCUACUGCAGAGGCAGGGUUGCCAGCAAUGUCUCAGCCUGCAUUGCUGCUUUCCAGAGCCACAGAGCCGUUCCGCUGAGACAGUGUACCUAGCCAGAAAGAUUUAGGGGAGGCUGUUUCCUAAAAGAGUGAUAGCUGAAUGGAGAAAACCAAAUUAAAAAAGAGCUGUUUGGCCGCAUUCCUCCAAUGACUAGCAUAAUUGUACAGUGCAGAGAGAGUCAGCCUGUAGGAAGUUAGGGCAAGGGGGAGGGGGCAUUGUCAUCUUUGAAGAGUCAUUUGGAGCAGUUCAGUUGGGCAUUAAAGUUUGUGUGGGAGUGUUUUCCCUUUGUCAAUAAUUAAUCAUUAGGCUCAGCCUAACAGGAGCUGGUUCUAAGCAAUAGAGGCUGGGGUGGAGCUGUAAGAAUCCUAGCUCAGAGACGGUCAGCAGCGCUCUAUGCAGUGAGGAGUCACACAGCUCAGCAGAUACAGCUCACCCUACCCAGAACAAGAGGAACAGCCACAGAAGGGAAAUUGCAGCUUCAUCUAUAUUUUACAGAGGAAAGAAAUCUAUUUUUAAGAGAACUCCCAACAUUCUGGAAAUUUUUCCACCAAAGGACGCUAUUAAUUCACCCAGCAUAUUCUAAGGUAAAAGCCUGGCUGCCUUCCAGAAGUACUUUUCUUGCAUUCUAACUGCACAAAUUUCUCCUUGCCCUUUCCCUCAGACAACAAUUAAU
rnacentral:lncRNA from 1 species